rnacentral:rRNA from 1 species
AUUGAACGCCAGCGGGAUGCUUUACACAUGCAAGUCGAACGGCAGCGCGAGGUAAGCUUGCUUACCUUGGCGGCGAGUGGCGAACGGGUGAGUAAUGUAUCGGAACGUGCCCAGUAGCGGGGGAUAACUACUCGAAAGAGUGGCUAAUACCGCAUACGCCCUACGGGGGAAAGGGGGGAUCGCAAGACCUCUCACUAUUGGAGCGGCCGAUAUCGGAUUAGCUAGUUGGUGGGGUAAAGGCCUACCAAGGCGUCGAUCCGUAGCUGGUUUGAGAGGACGACCAGCCACACUGGGACUGAGACACGGCCCAG